rnacentral:rRNA from 1 species
GCAGUCGAACGGGCUCGGAUUGAAACCUAGUGAUUUCCGAGUUAGUGGCGGACGGGUGAGUAACGCGUGGAUAACCUGCCGUAUGCAGGGGGAUAACAGUUGGAAACAGCUGCUAAUACCGCAUAAGCGCACAGUACCGCAUGGUACGGUGUGAAAAGAUUUAUCGGCAUACGAUGGAUCCGCGUCUGAUUAGCCAGUUGGCGGGGUAACGGCCCACCAAAGCGACGAUCGGUAGCCGGCCUGAGAGGGCGGACGGCCACAUUGGGACUGAGACACGGCCCAAACUCCUACGGGAGGCAGCAGUGGGGAAUAUUGCACAAUGGGGGAAACCCUGAUGCAGCGACGCCGCGUGAGUGAAGAAGUAUUUCGGUAUGUAAAGCUCUAUCAGCAGGGAAGAAAAUGACGGUACCUGACUAAGAAGCCCCGGCUAACUACGUGCCAGCAGCCGCGGUAAUUCGUAGGGGGCAAGCGUUAUCCGGAUUUACUGGGUGUAAAGGGAGCGUAGACGGCGCUGCAAGUCCGGAGUGAAAGCCCAUGGCUUAACCAUGGUACUGCUCUGGAAACUGUGGAGCUUGAGUGCGGGAGGGGCAGGCGGAAUUCCUAGUGUAGCGGUGAAAUGCGUAGAUAUUAGGAGGAACACCGGCGGCGAAGGCGGCCUGCUGGACCGUAACUGACGUUGAGGCUCGAAAGCGUGGGGAGCAAACAGGAUUAGAUACCCUGGUAGUCCACGCCGUAAACGAUGAUUACUAGGUGUCGCGGUACGAAGUACUGCGGUGCCGGCGCAAACGCAAUAAGUAAUCCACCUGGGGAGUACGUUCGCAAGAAUGAAACUCAA